AUGGAAUUCUGGCUUGCCACAGUAUCACUAUUUUGGUCAUCUGAAAACAUUGCAGAAUUGGAUGGAACUGGAGCCUCUGAAAUGCUAAGCUGACGGAUUUCUUGAAAAAGUGCCGCAGGAACACGUAAAGACUGCGCUACAUGCCAUGAAUCCAUCUGAAACAGAGCAUGUUUUCCAGAAACUCUUGUCAGCACCUCAAUGCACAUAAGAAUUACUGAACCUGGAUCUGGAAUAUUUUCCCUCCCACAGCUAAUUUGUUUCUCAUAGAAAAUUAUUGGACUCUGCAAGUGCACAAUAAUGUUGAACAAAGCAGCGAUCAAGUUCUGAAUGUGCCUUUUUACCACAUUUAGCCGUUUGCGACCUAUAACACAAACAAAUGGUCAAAACAAAAAUGUAUUGACCUAUUGAUUAAUAUACAAAAGAACUGAUAAAAAGAUGAAGAAAAAUAAGAAAAAGGAAAAAUUUUCAAUUGCAUCAUUCCAGGCUGAGCAGCAUUGAGCAAGUCAGACAUGUACUUUCUUAUAGCUAUUCAAACUCUACUUAAAAAUUUUAAAUACUUCACAUUUGCAUA
rnacentral:lncRNA from 1 species